GGAUAACUGUUGGAAACGAUAGCUAAGACCGCAUAGGUGUCAUAACCGCAUGGAGAUGAUAUGAAAUAUGCUACGGCAUAGGUAGAGGAUGGACUUAUGGCGCAUUAGCUAGUUGGAGGGGUAACGGCCCACCAAGGCGACGAUGCGUAGCCGACCUGAGAGGGUGACCGGCCACACUGGGACUGAGACACGGCCCAGACUCCUACGGGAGGCAGCAGUAGGGAAUUUUCGGCAAUGGGGGAAACCCUGACCGAGCAACGCCGCGUGAAGGAAGAAGUAAUUCGUUAUGUAAACUUCUGUCAUAGAGGAAGAACGGUGCGUGUAGGGAAUGACAUGCAAGUGACGGUACUCUAUAAGAAAGCCACGGCUAACUACGUGCCAGCAGCCGCGGUAAUACGUAGGUGGCGAGCGUUAUCCGGAAUUAUUGGGCGUAAAGAGGGAGCAGGCGGCACUAAGGGUCUGUGGUGAAAGAUCGAAGCUUAACUUCGGUAAGCCAUGGAAACCGUAGAGCUAGAGUGUGUGAGAGGAUCGUGGAAUUCCAUGUGUAGCGGUGAAAUGCGUAGAUAUAUGGAGGAACACCAGUGGCGAAGGCGACGAUCUGGCGCAUAACUGACGCUCAGUCCCGAAAGCGUGGGGAGCAAAUAGGAUUAGAUACCCUAGUAGUCCACGCCGUAAACGAUGAGUACUAAGUGUUGGGAGUCAAAUCUCAGUGCUGCAG
rnacentral:rRNA from 1 species